rnacentral:rRNA from 1 species
GAUGAAUGCUGGCGGCGUGCCUAACACAUGCAAGUCGAGCGGUAAGGCCCCUUCGGGGGUACACGAGCGGCGGACGGCUGAGUAACGCGUGGGAACAUGCCCCAAAGUGAGGGAUAAGCUCCAGAAAUGGAGUCUAAUACCGCAUAUGAUCUUCGGAUUAAAGGAUUUAUCCGCUUUGGGAGUGGCCUGCGUACGAUUAGAUAGUUGGUGAGGUAAUGGCUUACCAAGUCUACGAUCGUUAACUGGUCUGAGAGGAUGAUCAGUCAGACUGGAACUGAGACACGGUCCAGACUCCUACGGGAGGCAGCAGUGAGGAAUCUUCCACAAUGGGCGAAAGCCUGAUGGAGCAACGCCGCGUGCAGGAUGAAGGCCUUCGGGUCGUAAACUGCUUUUAUAAGUGAAGAAUAUGACGGUAACUUAUGAAUAAGCACCGGCUAACUACGUGCCAGCAGCCGCGGUAAU